AUUGAACGCUGGCGGCAUGCCUUACACAUGCAAGUCGAACGGUAACAGGUCUUCGGAUGCUGACGAGUGGCGAACGGGUGAGUAAUACAUCGGAACGUGCCUAGUAGUGGGGGAUAACUACUCGAAAGAGUGGCUAAUACCGCAUGAGAUCUACGGAUGAAAGCAGGGGAUCGCAAGACCUUGUGCUACUAGAGCGGCCGAUGGCAGGUUAGGUAGUUGGUGGGAUAAAAGCUUACCAAGCCGGCGAUCUGUAGCUGGUCUGAGAGGACGAUCAGCCACACUGGGACUGGGACACGGCCCAGACUCCUACGGGAGGCAGCAGUGGGGAAUUUUGGACAAUGGGCGAAAGCCUGAUCCAGCAAUGCCGCGUGCAGGAUGAAGGCCUUCGGGCUGUAAACUGCUUUUGUACGGAACGAAAAGCCCCGGGUUAAUACCCUGGGGUCAUGACGGUACCGUAAGAAUAAGCACCGGCUAACUACGUGCCAGCCGCCGCCGUAA
rnacentral:rRNA from 1 species